UACGGGGGGGGCAAGCGUUGUUCGGAAUUACUGGGCGUAAAGGGCUCGUAGGCGGCCAACUAAGUCAGACGUGAAAUCCCUAGGCUCAACCUGGGAACUGCGUCUGAUACUGGAUGGCUUGAAUCCGGGAGAGGGAUGCAGAAUUCCAGGUGUAGCGGUGAAAUGCGUAGAUAUUGGGAGGAACACCAGUGGCGAAGGCGCUCACUGGACCGGUACUGACGCUGAGGCGCGAAGGCCAGGGGAGCAAAGCGGG
rnacentral:rRNA from 1 species